rnacentral:lncRNA from 10 species
CGAGGAGCUGGGACUACAGGCACCCGCCACCACGCCCGGCUAUUUUUUUUGUAUUUUUUAGUAGAGACGGGGUUUCACCAUGUUAGCCAGGAUGGUCUCGAUCUCCUGACCUCGUGAUCCGCCUGCCUCGGCCUCCCAAAGUGCUGGGAUUACAGGCGUAAGCCACCACGCCCGGCCCAGCUUCACUAAUUUUUACCAUCUUUCAACUCAAGGCCAAUCAGAGAAAGGAAAAUUUGUCUGAGAAGGAAAUUGCAAAGCUGAAGCCUUGGGACUUGAAAAUUCAAAUCUUCCGUCUUUGUUUAUGGUCUGUAGCAGGCAAACAACUUCGAACUUCUCAAGGUUGCUUGGCUAAACACGAACGAGUGGAUGAAGAGAACACCUCAGCAAUAAAUAUAAUGCCUGGAAAAGAAUUUUACUAAGAACAAUGUUUUUUAUGCCACUUUUUAAUUUUUUUAAAAAUUUCUCAUUACCUCUGAAGAUUUGUGACACUAUUGUUUGAGCCAUUAUUUUUUAAAUGAUACAUAUAACUGCUUGUCUAGGAUGGUUUCUCUUUCUUUCUCUUUCUCUCAAUUAUCUUCAGUUUUCUAAUCUAGACCACAAAGUUCUCCAUUAAUAAAGUUGGCAAACAAAGUGUCUGAAAACAUUUUGUUACAGGGAAUGAUAUUCUGCUAAGUUUUACUGAAGAUGGAAUUUUCAUUAGUACUGCUAAUGAACCA